rnacentral:rRNA from 1 species
UACGUAGGUGGCAAGCGUUGUCCGGAAUUAUUGGGCGUAAAGCGCGCGCAGGCGGUUAUGUAAGUCUGAUGUUAAAGCCCGGGGCUCAACCUCGGUUCGCAUUGGAAACUGCGUAACUUGAGUGCAGAAGAGGAAAGUGGUAUUCCACGUGUAGCGGUGAAAUGCGUAGAGAUGUGGAGGAACACCAGUGGCGAAGGCGACUUUCUGGUCUGUAACUGACGCUGAGGCGAGAAAGCGUGGGGAGCAAACAGG